rnacentral:rRNA from 1 species
ACUAUCGUUAACUGAAUACAUAGGUUAACGAGGCGAACCGGGGGAACUGAAACAUCUAAGUACCCCGAGGAAAAGAAAUCAACCGAGAUUCCCCCAGUAGCGGCGAGCGAACGGGGAGCAGCCCGGAGUCUGAAUCAGCUUGUGUGUUAGUGGAACGGUCUGGAAAGUCCGACGGUACAGGGUGAUAGUCCCGUACACGAAAAUGCACAGGUUGUGAACUCGAAGAGUAGGGCGGGACACGUGGUAUCCUGUCUGAAUAUGGGGGGACCAUCCUCCAAGGCUAAAUACUCCUGACUGACCGAUAGUGAACCAGUACCGUGAGGGAAAGGCGAAAAGAACCCCGGCGAGGGGAGUGAAAAAGAACCUGAAACCGUGUACGUACAAGCAGUGGGAGCACCUUCGGGUGUGACUGCGUACCUUUUGUAUAAUGGGUCAGCGACUUAUAUUCUGUAGCAAGGUUAACCGUAUAGGGGAGCCGAAGGGAAACCGAGUCUUAACUGGGCGUUAAGUUGCAGGGUAUAGACCCGAAACCCGGUGAUCUAGCCAUGGGCAGGUUGAAGGUUGGGUAACACUAACUGGAGGACCGAACCGACUAAUGUUGAAAAAUUAGCGGAUGACCUGUGGCUGGGGGUGAAAGGCCAAUCAAACCGGGAGAUAGCUGGUUCUCCCCGAAAGCUAUUUAGGUAGCGCCUCGUGAACUCAUCUUCGGGGGUAGAGCACUGUUUCGGCUAGGGGGCCAUCCCGGCUUACCAACCCGAUGCAAACUACGAAUACCGAAGAAUGUUAUCACGGGAGACACACGGCGGGUGCUAACGUCCGUCGUGAAGAGGGAAACAACCCAGACCGCCAGCUAAGGUCCCAAAGUCAUGGUUAAGUGGGAAACGAUGUGGGAAGGCACAGACAGCCAGGAUGUUGGCUUAGAAGCAGCCAUCAUUUAAAGAAAGCGUAAUAGCUCACUGGUCGAGUCGGCCUGCGCGGAAGAUGUAACGGGGCUAAACCAUGCACCGAAGCUGCGGCAGCGACACUAUGUGUUGUUGGGUAGGGGAGCGUUCUGUAAGCCGUUGAAGGUGUGCUGUGAGGCAUGCUGGAGGUAUCAGAAGUGCGAAUGCUGACAUAAGUAACGAUAAAGCGGGUGAAAAGCCCGCUCGCCGGAAGACCAAGGGUUCCUGUCCAACGUUAAUCGGGGCAGGGUGAGUCGACCCCUAAGGCGAGGCCGAAAGGCGUAGUCGAUGGGAAACAGGUUAAUAUUCCUGUACUUGGUGUUACUGCGAAGGGGGGACGGAGAAGGCUAUGUCAGCCGGGCGACGGUUGUCCCGGUUUAAGCAUGUAGGCGGAGGUUCCAGGUAAAUCCGGUACCUUUUAACGCUGAGGUGUGAUGACGAGGCACUACGGUGCUGAAGUGAUAAAUGCCCUGCUUCCAGGAAAAGCCUCUAAGCAUCAGGUAACACGAAAUCGUACCCCAAACCGACACAGGUGGUCAGGUAGAGAAUACCAAGGCGCUUGAGAGAACUCGGGUGAAGGAACUAGGCAAAAUGGUGCCGUAACUUCGGGAGAAGGCACGCUGAUAGGUAGGUGAAGCCCCUGCGGGCGGAGCUGAAAUCAGUCGAAGAUACCAGCUGGCUGCAACUGUUUAUUAAAAACACAGCACUGUGCAAACACGAAAGUGGACGUAUACGGUGUGACGCCUGCCCGGUGCCGGAAGGUUAAUUGAUGGGGUUAGCGGCAACGCGAAGCUCUUGAUCGAAGCCCCGGUAAACGGCGGCCGUAACUAUAACGGUCCUAAGGUAGCGAAAUUCCUUGUCGGGUAAGUUCCGACCUGCACGAAUGGCGUAAUGAUGGCCAGGCUGUCUCCACCCGAGACUCAGUGAAAUUGAACUCGCUGUGAAGAUGCAGUGUACCCGCGGCAAGACGGAAAGACCCCGUGAACCUUUACUAUAGCUUGACACUGAACACUGGUCCUUGAUGUGUAGGAUAGGUGGGAGGCUUUGAAGCGUGGACGCCAGUCUGCGUGGAGCCAUCCUUGAAAUACCACCCUUUAAUGGCUGGUGUUCUAACGUAGACCCGUGAUCCGGGUUGCGGACAGUGUCUGGUGGGUAGUUUGACUGGGGCGGUCUCCUCCCAAAGAGUAACGGAGGAGCACGAAGGUUGGCUAAUCCUGGUCGGACAUCAGGAGGUUAGUGCAAUGGCAUAAGCCAGCUUGACUGCGAGCGUGACGGCGCGAGCAGGUGCGAAAGCAGGUCAUAGUGAUCCGGUGGUUCUGAAUGGAAGGGCCAUCGCUCAACGGAUAAAAGGUACUCCGGGGAUAACAGGCUGAUACCGCCCAAGAGUUCAUAUCGACGGCGGUGUUUGGCACCUCGAUGUCGGCUCAUCACAUCCUGGGGCUGAAGUAGGUCCCAAGGGUAUGGCUGUUCGCCAUUUAAAGUGGUACGCGAGCUGGGUUUAGAACGUCGUGAGACAGUUCGGUCCCUAUCUGCCGUGGGCGCUGGAGAAUUGAGGGGGGCUGCUCCUAGUACGAGAGGACCGGAGUGGACGCAUCACUGGUGUUCGGGUUGUCAUGCCAAUGGCACUGCCCGGUAGCUAAAUGCGGAAGAGAUAAGUGCUGAAAGCAUCUAAGCACGAAACUUGCCCCGAGAUGAGUUCUCCCUGAGACUUUAAGUCUCCUGAAGGAACGUUGAAGACGACGACGUUGAUAGGUCGGGUGUGUAAGCGCAGCGAUGCGUUGAGCUAACCGAUACUAAUGAACCGUGAGGCUUAACC